ACUGGAAAGGCAUUCACUAGUCAUGUAUUCGACUGUCCAAAAUCGAGUUAAAGUGAAACUGGGAGUCCAUUACCUAAAUCUUCCUGUGCCACCAUUCUUCAGAAGCAACGAUUCAGCCGGUAGCAUCGUUAUACUCAACCCCGCUACUGUUGACAAGUUCCGAUAGACGCUUGUAUGUUCGACUCAUUGAAUCCCAAUGAUUUCACAGCUGCUAGCGGGUCCAGUUAUGGCCGAUCACUGAGUUGAAGAGUGAGGCGACUCGUUCCCAUCGUGUUUUGUAAAACAAAGACCUCACUACCCCUCUGCAAUGGCGGUCUAACACGCAGCAAUGAAAGCUCGGGUGGCUUCUGGACUCCAGCGAGAGUAGGACUUCGAGGCCGUCCCCAUCGCUAAGUUGGAAGUUCCGUGAGUGAAAUCCCCUGACUGCGGUUUUUAACAAUAGAAAAAUCGGGGGAAGUGGAAGAUGAAAGGAUAAUUUAUUAUAUGUGUACCUGUUUUCCGGAUUCAUCCAUUGUUGGUCAUCGUCUCUGCGUCGAUCAAGCAUCGUUGUGGAUUGUGGCUUGAGGGGAACCGGUGAUAGUUGUUGUGGGAAGUCGUUCAGUUGUGGGAAGGUGAAAGUCGACACCGAAUAGUUUGAUUGCUGAAAUUUUUGGCCUGUGUUUUGGGUGCUCUGUCGCCAGGUUGGGAGACGAAUGUGGGGAAAGGAAAGUGUCGGUGGGAGGG
rnacentral:lncRNA from 1 species